GAUGAACGCUGGCGGCGUGCCUAACACAUGCAAGUCGAGCGAAGCACUUUGCUUAGAUUCUUCGGAUGAAGAGGAUUGUGACUGAGCGGCGGACGGGUGAGUAACGCGUGGGUAACCUGCCUCAUACAGGGGGAUAACAGUUAGACAUGACUGCUAAUACCGCAUAAGACCACAGCACCGCAUGGUGCGGGGGUAAAAACUCCGGUGGUAUGAGAUGGACCCGCGUCUGAUUAGCUAGUUGGUAAGGUAACGGCUUACCAAGGCGACGAUCAGUAGCCGACCUGAGAGGGUGACCGGCCACAUUGGGACUGAGACACGGCCCAAACUCCUACGGGAGGCAGCAGUGGGGAAUAUUGCACAAUGGGGGAAACCCUGAUGCAGCGACGCCGCGUGAGCGAAGAAGUAUUUCGGUAUGUAAAGCUCUAUCAGCAGGGAAGAAAAUGACGGUACCUGACUAAGAAGCACCGGCUAAAUACGUGCCAGCAGCCGCGGUAAUACGUAUGGUGCAAGCGUUAUCCGGAUUUACUGGGUGUAAAGGGAGCGUAGACGGAUGGGCAAGUCUGAUGUGAAAACCCGGGGGCUCAACCCCGGGACUGCAUUGGAAACUGUUCAUCUAGAGUGCUGGAGAGGUAAGUGGAAUUCCUAGUGUAGCGGUGAAUGCGUAGAUAUUAGGAGGAACACCAGUGGCGAAGGCGGCUUACUGGACAGUAACUGGCGUUGAGGCUCGAAAGCGUGGGAGCAGCACGAUUAAUGCCCUGGUAAUCCAAAGGGCAAAUUCCACAGUGGAUGUCGGGCUGUCGUGCCGGGCGACGUCCAGGGGGGGCCCGGGGCCGGGGGUGUUCGCGUUGUGAAACUGGAUAAAACACUAGAAU
rnacentral:rRNA from 1 species